GUCGUCGGCGCAUCGGCGCCGGGAUGGGCCGGUUCCGAGCCGGGUUCGGGUGUCCCGACCGGCCGCGGCAGCGGUUCGACACUGAUCGGCUGUCC
rnacentral:tRNA from 1 species